rnacentral:tRNA from 1 species
GCCCUUAGCUCAGCUGGAUAGAGCGUCCCCCUCCUAAGGGGAAGGUCUCAGGUUCGAAUCCUGAAGGGC